AGUGAACGCUGGCGGUAGGCCUAACACAUGCAAGUCGAACGGCAGCACAGUAAGAGCUUGCUCUUACGGGUGGCGAGUGGCGGACGGGUGAGGAAUACAUCGGAAUCUACUUUUUCGUGGGGGAUAACGUAGGGAAACUUACGCUAAUACCGCAUACGACCUACGGGUGAAAGCAGGGGAUCUUCGGACCUUUCGCGAUUGAUUGAGCCGAUGUCGGAUUAGCUAGUUGGCGGGGUAAGGGCCCACCAAGGCGACGAUCCGUAGCUGGUCUGAGAGGAUGAUCAGCCACACUGGAACUGAGACACGGUCCAGACUCCUACGGGAGGCAGCAGUGGGGAAUAUUGGACAAUGGGCGCAAGCCUGAUCCAGCCAUACCGCGUGAGUGAAGAAGGCCUUCGGGUUGUAAAGCCCUUUUGUUGGGAAAGAAAAGCAGCAGGUUAAUACCCCGCUGUUCUGACGGUACCCAAAGAAUAAGCACCGGCUAACUUCGUG
rnacentral:rRNA from 1 species